rnacentral:lncRNA from 10 species
GAUGGAGUCUUGCUCUGUCACCCAGGCUGGAGUGCCAUGGCGCCACCUCAGCUCACUGCAACCUAUGCCUCCUGGGUUCAAGCGAUUCUCCUGCCUCGGCCUCCCCAGUAGCUGGGAUUACAGGAGUGAUGCUUCCCCCUCUGUGAAUGUGGCUUUGGGUAUGGCUAAUCCACACCCUGCACUCUGGCCUUCAGAAGCCCAGGGAGAGAAGCCUCCCAGAAGCAACCUUCCAGAACCUUCUCCAUCCUCCCACCGACCUCCCCAGCCCCUGUCCUCUCUUUGAAUCUCGUUGUCAAGUUCUUCCCGCAGACACCUGGCUCCUUGAGGGGAGGUGCAGCUUUCAUCUGACCAUGCAGGCGUGCUUUGCAGUGGGUAGAGCAGUGCUUUCCUCCUCCCAGCUGCACACUGGAAUCACCUGGAGAGUCCAGAAACUUCCCGCCUCAGUGAAAGAACAUCAGUGUAUCAGCACAGCAAAUAUUCCAAAUGCCAGGCUGGAUUCCCUCCAAUUACCAGGACCUCCAGGCUUCUC